rnacentral:rRNA from 1 species
GAACGCUGGCGGCGUGCCUAAUACCUGCAAGUCGAGCGAACGGACGAGAAGCUUGCUUCUCUGAUGUUAGCGGCGGACGGGUGAGUAACACGUGGAUAACCUACCUAUAAGACUGGGAUAACUUCGGGAAACCGGAGCUAAUACCGGAUGAUAUUUUGAACCGCAUGGUUCAAAAGUGAAAGACGGUCUUGCUGUCACUUAUAGAUGGAUCCGCGCUGCAUUAGCUAGUUGGUAAGGUAACGGCUUACCAAGGCAACGAUGCAUAGCCGACCUGAGAGGGUGAUCGGCCACACUGGAACUGAGACACGGUCCAGACUCCUACGGGAGGCAGCAGUAGGGAAUCUUCCGCAAAGGGCGAAAGCCUGACGGAGCAACGCCGCGUGAGUGAUGAAGGUCUUCGGAUCGUAAAACUCUGUUAUUAGGGAAGAACAUAUGUGUAAGUAACUGUGCACAUCUUGACGGUACCUAAUCAGAAAGCCACGGCUAACUACGUG